rnacentral:lncRNA from 1 species
UUUCUUCGUUAAUCAUAAAUAUUUAUUUCUUUACUAUUAUAAAUAAAUAAUUCUAGAAAAAUAAUCAGAACAAACAUAUAUUAUCAUGGUCACAGCUCCCCACACCAUAUCCUUCCUAUUAAUAAUUGAGAGAAAAUAAGUCGUUAAAUAAUGCAUGUUACCCAAGUGAGUGAUCAAUGCCAUCUCAUUGACGAUACAUCCAUCAUUACAAAUUGCCAAAUAACAGAAUGUGAAAACUUACAAAGAGCUUAUUUCAAACAUCAAGGGAACAACGUGUGAUAAAGCAGAUUUGCAUUAGAUGCACUUGCAACACAUAUAAGAACAUGAAUAUGUGUAUAGACAGCAUUAUUUAAGUAGAUACUAUACUACUACAUUGCGGAUGCUCUUAGAUGACAAUUUUCUUGCACGUUAAUGUACAUAUUACAUGACGGCAUUAGCACUGGAACAAUAGUUGAUAUAGAGUGUUCACUAUCUUUGUAAGGAACUUACCCCAGAUAGGCACAAUUGAUCAAGGGCCAGCAAUUUAUCUUCUAUAUUUACAUACAUAUUAGAUGGUAGUAUUCUCGUUGUAGUGGAACAACAGUUGAUGUAGAGUUUUCACUAUCUUACUAAGUAACUCACGCCGGCUAGGUGCCAUUUAUCAAUGGCUCUUCUAUUACCCUCCAUAUUAUACCUAUCGUAACAGGCCUUUCUUCUAAAAAUGCGGCUACAUAUUCCUUUCUUGCAAAAUAUUUUCGGUGUUCAGGUUAAGAAGGGAUUUCAUUCCUUUCAUGUACUAUUACUUGGUGGAUAUUCUUCCAAUGAAUUUUAGUGCUCGCCACUGAUGACAUGCUUGCUGGGUUCAAGGUGCCGCAACCACAUAUUCUAGCCAGAAGCCCAUGUCUGAAUCUUCUUGAAACCGGGCAGGGGCAGAACAGGUGUAGCCAACGCAUAUUCAAUGGAAAGAAGUACUUGUCUCGCAAUCCACCAUUUUGAAGUCUGUCUGCACAUCAAAUACUGUUCAAAUGCAUCAGCCAAGAACAUGUACUCCAGAAUUGGUAUACCAUAAUGGUUAGACAACAAUACAAAGUGGUCAAGGUGACCACAAAAGAAGGAUGGACUCUUUCAAAAAGACCCAAAAAUAAAAAGACGGUUGGACAAAAGAUUGAUAUACUAAUUCAGCACUAUCAUUCUUCAUGAAAGUGCAUUGUGAAUUGGAUGGAUUCUUGGGACUGCUCCAUGUAUAGAUGAGAUAUGAAGGUUUUAUAUUCCGAAUAGAGAUGCAUGGUACCGUGACCAAACCCUAUUAAGAAGAUACACGUUUCCAGACGAAUAAGAAGAAACAACCAGAAGGAGCGGGUCAAGAAGGGCACCUGCCGGUACCUAUGAGCAACUUCUCUGGCGAGGUGGAGAUUUACUUCUCGUGGCACAGUAUGCCGUGGGGCUGGUGCUGCAGGGACUCUCAAAGCUAGGCAUCAUGAUUAAGGAAGACCCAAACCUGAGCAUGGUGAUUAUGAACGACCCAAAGCUGGGCAUCAUGGUUAGCGACGACUGCCCCAACCCCCAAGGAGAACAUGAUGGAUGUAAUAGAUUGGGUUACCUGUUUCCCUUUUUUUGGGUAGUAAUUUUGUUGACCUUUUAUGGUUUUAGGUGCUAAUAAUUGUGGCUUUUUAAUGGAACGAUCAUCGUGGCUUUUUUUAGAUAGAUCAUCGUGGCUUGUAAAUACUACUCCUUCCGUAAACUAAUAUAAG